rnacentral:misc_RNA from 1 species
AGCAGCCGCGGUAAUUCCAGCUCCAAUAGCGUAUAUUAAAGUUGUUGCAGUUAAAAAGCUCGUAGUUGAAUUUCGGGAUCAAUAUAUCGGUCGUGCCUUAGUACGUACUGGUAUCAUUGGUUUCUCCUUUCUGACGAACCAUGAUGUCAUUAAUUUGGUGUUAUGGGAAGUUAGGACUGUUACUUUGAAAAAUUAGAGUGUUUAAAGCAAGCUAACGCUUGAAUACAUUAGCAUGGAAUAAUGAAAUAGGACGUUCGAUCCUAUUUUGUUGGUUCAUAGGAUUGACGUAAUGAUUAAUAGGGAUAGUUGGGGGCAUUAGUAUUCAAUUGUCAGAGGUGAAAUUCUUGGAUUUAUUGAAGACUAACUACUGCGAAAGCAUUUGCCAAGGAUGUUUUCAUUAAUCAAGAACGAAAGUUAGGGGAUCGAAGACGAUCAGAUACCGUCGUAGUCUUAACCAUAAACUAUGCCGACUAGGGAUCGGAUGAUGUUAAUUUUUAAUGA